GCGCUCGUGUGAUACGGAGUUUCAUCCGGUAAAGCGAAUGAUCAGAGGAGCUGGGCUCCUUGCGAGCUCAACCUAUUCUCAAACUUUCAAUGGGUGAGACGUCUCGCUGGCUUCACUGCAGCGACGACUCUGAAUCCGAGUGCCCAGUGGGCCACUUUUGGUAAGCAGAACUGGCGAUGCGGGAUGAACCGCAUGUCGAGUUAAGGUGCCUAAGCGGACGCAAAUCAGAUACCAUGAAAGGUGUUGAUUGCUCAUGACAGCAGGACGGUGGCCAUGGAAGUCGGCACCCGCUAAGGAGUGUGUAACAACUCACCUGCCGAAGCAAUCAGCCCUGAAAAUGGAUGGCGCUAAAGCGUUCCACCGAUACUCGACCGUCGUCGGCAGGCGACGUGUAUGUCACGUCUCAAGCCACGACGAGUAGGGCGGCGCGGUGGUGAGCGUCGAAGGCGUAGCCGUGAGGCUAGCUGGAGCCGCCAUCGGUGCAGAUCUUGGUGGUAGUAGCAAAUACACAAGCAAGAUCCUUGUGGACCGAUGUGGAGAAGGGUUCCGCGCGAACAGUACUUGGACGUGGGUGAGUCGGCCCUAAGCCAACGGGUAAUUCCCGCAUCCCGUGUUGAUCACACAAUAUCGCAUUGAAUAACAUGGGUUGAU
rnacentral:rRNA from 1 species